UUUAAUUGUAAAWWAAUUGGUUAAUUAUAAUUAUAUAAAUUAUUUUAUAUUAUUAUUAUUAUUUUUAUUAUUUUUAUUAAUUUUUGUUUUAAAAUUAUUUAUAAAAUUAGGUAGUAAGUGUUAUGAUCAUGAAACUUAAAGAAUUUGACGGUAAUUCAUUCAUAUUAGAGGAACUUGUCUUUUAAUUGAUAAUCCACGAUAAAAUUUACCUAAAUUAAUAUAUAUAUAUAUAUAUAUAUUUAUUUAUAUACCGUCGUUUUAAAAGAAUUUUUGUAGAAUUUUUAAUUUUUUAAAUAUUAUGUAUUUGGAUAUUUAAUUCAAUAAAAUAAUAGUAAUUCAGAUCAAGGUGUAGUAUAUAUUUAGGUUAAGAUGAGUUACAAUAAAAUUUAUUUAUUAUGGAUUUAAAAUUUUAAUAUAUUUUAUUGAAAGUGGAUUUAAAAGUAAAUUUAAAAAAUUAUUUAGAUUGAUAAA
rnacentral:rRNA from 1 species